UCCGGCGUAGCUCAGUCGGUAGAGCGGGCGGCUGUUAACCGCCAUGUCGCAGGUUCGAGUCCUGCCGCCGGAGCCA
rnacentral:tRNA from 1 species